rnacentral:rRNA from 1 species
AGGAUUAACGCUGGCGGCGUGCCUAACACAUGCAAGUCGAACGAGGUAGCAAUACCUAGUGGCAGACGGGUGAGUAGCGCGUGGUCAACCUACCGUUGAGUGGGGGAUAACUAGCCGAAAGGUUAGCUAAUACCGCAUACGUCUCCGAGGGGCAUCCCUUGGCGAUAAAAGGAGCAAUCCGCUCGAUGACGGGACCGCGUCCCAUUAGCUAGUUGGUGGGGUAACGGCCUACCAAGGCAUCGAUGGGUAGCUGGUUUGAGAGAGCGACCAGCCACACUGGGACUGAGAUACGGCCCAGACUCCUACGGGAGGCAGCAGUGAGGAAUUUUCCGCAAUGGGCGAAAGCCUGACGGAGCGACGCCGCGUGUGGGAAGAAGGCCUUCGGGUCGUAAACCGACUGUCGAAGGGGAGAUAAUGACGGUACCCUUGGAGGAGCCCGGCUAACUACGCGCCAGCAGCCGC